rnacentral:rRNA from 1 species
GAUGAACGCUGACAGAAUGCUUAACACAUGCAAGUCUACUUGAUCCUUCGGGUGAUGGUGGCGGACGGGUGAGUAACGCGUAAAGAACUUGCCCUGCAGUCUGGGACAACAUUUGGAAACGAAUGCUAAUACCGGAUAUUAUGUGAGUUUCGCAUGAAAUUCAUAUGAAAGCUAUAUGCGCUGCAGGAGAGCUUUGCGUCCUAUUAGCUAGUUGGUGAGGUAACGGCUCACCAAGGCGAUGAUAGGUAGCCGGCCUGAGAGGGUGAACGGCCACAAGGGGACUGAGACACGGCCCUUACUCCUACGGGAGGCAGCAGUGGGGAAUAUUGGACAAUGGACCAAAAGUCUGAUCCAGCAAUUCUGUGUGCACGAUGAAGUUUUUCGGAAUGUAAAGUGCUUUCAGUUGGGACGAAGUAAGUGACGGUACCAACAGAAGAAGCGACGGCUAAAUACGUGCCAGCAGCCGCGGUAAUACGUAUGUCGCAAGCGUUAUCCGGAUUUAUUGGGCGUAAAGCGCGUCUAGGCGGUUUGGUAAGUCCGAUGUGAAAAUGCGGGGCUCAACUCCGUAUUGCGUUGGAAGCUGCCAAACUAGAGUACUGGAGAGGUGGGCGGAACUACAAGUGUAGAGGUGAAAUUCGUAGAUAUUUGUAGGAAUGCCGAUGGGGAAGCCAGCCCACUGGACAGAUACUGACGCUAAAGCGCGAAAGCGUGGGUAGCAAACAGG